CCUACGGGUGGCAGCAGUGGGGAAUAUUGGACAAUGGGGGGAACCCUGAUCCAGCCAUGCCGCGUGUGUGAAGAAGGCCCUCGGGUUGUAAAGCACUUUCAGUGAGGAAGAACGCCUGGUGGUUAAUACCCAUCAGGAAAGACAUCACUCACAGAAGAAGCACCGGCUAACUCCGUGCCAGCAGCCGCGGUAAUACGGAGGGUGCGAGCGUUAAUCGGAAUUACUGGGCGUAAAGCGCGCGUAGGUGGCUUGAUAAGCCGGUUGUGAAAGCCCCGGGCUCAACCUGGGAACGGCAUCCGGAACUGUCAAGCUAGAGUGCAGGAGAGGAAGGUAGAAUUCCCGGUGUAGCGGUGAAAUGCGUAGAGAUCGGGAGGAAUACCAGUGGCGAAGGCGACCUUCUGGACUGACACUGACACUGAGGUGCGAAAGCGUGGGUAGCAAACAGGAUUAGAUACCCGAGUAGUC
rnacentral:rRNA from 1 species